rnacentral:misc_RNA from 1 species
GCGAUGUCUUCCGGACCGGCGUCGUAUUGGUGUUACCGCUGCAAUCGUUUCGUUCGUGCUUGGGCUCAGGAUUCCAUUACUUGUCCUUACUGUGACGGUGGGUUUGUAGAAGCAAUUGAAACCGCCUCUUCUCUUCCGGCGGCGAAUCUACACCGUCGAUUCUCACCGCCCACGAUCCAUACUUUAGAUCAAGAUUCGUUUCAGUCUCCUCGCUUGACCACUCGCCGUAGUCGUCGGAGACUUGGG